rnacentral:rRNA from 1 species
UACGGGGGGGGCAAGCGUUGUUCGGAAUUACUGGGCGUAAAGGGCUCGUAGGCGGCCAACUAAGUCAGACGUGAAAUCCCUCGGCUUAACCGGGGAACUGCGUCUGAUACUGGAUGGCUUGAGUUUGGGAGAGGGAUGCGGAAUUCCAGGUGUAGCGGUGAAAUGCGUAGAGAUCAUGAGGAAGACCAGUGGCGAAGGCGGGUCUCUGGACAGUUCCUGACACUGAGACACGAAGGCCAGGGGAGCAAACGGG